rnacentral:lncRNA from 1 species
GGAUCUAGUCUGUGGCUACAUGUCUAGAAUGAAAAUAAUGUCAGAAGUAUGGUUCUCUACAUCAUUUUAUCUUAACAUCUGACUAUCUAAUAAUUAGCCUGAUUAUCUAACAAUCUAAAUCAGUUGUCAUGAUAUUGAAAAUAUCAAACUUUCUACCUUCCAGUUAAUUUCCUUAUCUACAUUUUCAUAGAAUACCAAGAUUCUUUUUUAACGAAAAAGAAAGAUGGGGGAAUAUUAUCUCCUAGCCCCUGAAUUCUGGAGUCUUCUAAUGAUUAUUUUUACCAAGUAAAUAAAUCCAAGAGUCAACGAAAUGUGGUUUACUGCUAUGCUUCCUGGAAUUUCUUGCAGAAUUAUAGCAUCUCAGAGUUGGAAGGAAUUCUUCAUAUGACCACACUGAAUUCUUUUCCUGUCGGUCUGCAUCACAUUUGUGAAGGGAGAAUCCCAGAAGAGAGGAAAGACAAGAUGCCACCUCGUACUGUAGAAGUCGAAGAGGGCAGAGUUUCUCCCUUUGCCCCGGCAACGAGGAAAUUAGAACAUCACCUGGCCUCGGCAGAUCAAAGGCCCCACUUGGGACGUGCCACCUGUUGGGAAGCACAAGCCUCCAGCAGAGGUGGAUUUGAGGGUCCAGCAGCAUGGCAAUGACCUUGCAGGGGGACACAGCCCAGAUGCAUUAUGACAACUGUCCAGCUGUGACAGCACCAGUGGCAGCAUCCUAAACAGACGAUCCCGUGGCAAAACCUCCGCUGUGCCUCUUGAUUUUCAUUCACUCCAGUCACCUGGUUCUCUAGUCGUCCCACUGACUGUGAGCUGCAAGGUAUUCUUCCAGUAAAUUCAACUUCUGCUCAAGUCGGAAGAGAUUUUCGUUGGUUGCAGCCAGGAAAUCUGACUGGUAUGCCAGUCUUUCCUGUGUGGAUACAAGCUCCAAUAACAGCUUGGUAUGGUGGCCUUGACUGGGCCAUUUCCUUCUCUCAGGUUGACCUUGCAACCAUGCAUGAAUUGCAUGCUUUGCUUUCUCUGAAAUCUGGAGCUGUGUGUACUCCGAGGACAGAUAACAGGGGACCUUAGAAAACAAGUGCCCCAACAAACUAGGAAAAAUAACUGGAAAAGGGAGGGUGCCUCUGAUGCCUUCUUUGCAGGGAGGUGGAUAUGAUCACUCAAGAACAAAUGAAAUCAACUUUGUCUAUUGAUUCUUUUGUGGGGGGUGGGGGGGCACCUGUGGCAUGCAGAAGUUCCUGUACCAGGGAUCGAACCCGUACCCCAGCAAAGAUCCGAGAUGCUGCCGUGACCAUACCGGGUCCUUCACCCGCUGUGCCUUAAGAGAACUCCUGUAUAUUGAUUCUUUUUUUAUCUUUUUUUUUUUUUGCUAUUUCUUGGGCCGCUCCCGCGGCAUAUGGAGGUUCCCAGGCUAGGGGUCCAAUCGGAGCUGUAGCCACCGGCCUACACCAGAGCCACAGCAACGUGGGAUCCGAGCCGCGUCUGCAACCUACACCACAGCUCACGGCAACGCCGGAUCCUUAACCCACUGAGCAAGGGCAGGGACCGAACCCGCAACCUCAUGGUUCCUAGUCGGAUUCGAUAACCACUGCGCCAUGACGGGAACUCCUGAUUCUUUUUUUAAAAUGAAGUUUAUUUUGUUUUUUAG